UACGAAGGGGGCUAGCGUUGCUCGGAAUUACUGGGCGUAAAGGGCGCGUAGGCGGUUUCGUUAGUCAGGCGUGAAAUUCCUGGGCUUAACCUGGGGACUGCGCUUGAUACAGCGAGACUCGAGGUCAGAAGAGGGUCGUGGAAUUCCCAGUGUAGAGGUGAAAUUCGUAGAUAUUGGGAAGAACACCGGUGGCGAAGGCGGCGACCUGGUCUGAUACUGACGCUGAGGCGCGAUAGCGUGGGGAGCAAACAGG
rnacentral:rRNA from 2 species